AUAUCAAUAAGCGGAGGAAAAGAAACCAACAGGGAUUGCCUCAGUAACGGCGAGUGAAGCGGCAACAGCUCAAAUUUGAAAUCUGCCUCUAGGCCGAGUUGUAAUUUGUAGAAGAUGCUUCGGGUGUGGCACUGGUCUAAGUUCCUUGGAACAGGACGUCAUAGAGGGUGAGAAUCCCGUACGUGACUGGCUGCCUUCGCCCAUGUGAAGCUCUUUCGACGAGUCGAGUUGUUUGGGAAUGCAGCUCAAAAUGGGUGGUAUAUUUCAUCUAAAGCUAAAUAUUGGCCAGAGACCGAUAGCGCACAAGUAGAGUGAUCGAAAGAUGAAAAGCACUUUGGAAAGAGAGUUAAACAGUAC
rnacentral:rRNA from 1 species